GCCUUAUUCACCUCGUAGACAAAGAUUGUGGAAAGCUGAUUAAGGUUGUUUUAAGUUUUAAAGAAUGGAUUAAUCUUGAUGGAAACGAGCUAAAAGUGUGCCAACAAUAUAAAGAUGUAUUUGAGGGGAAUAAAGAUGAUGCACUACCGGUUUAUGGCUAUCAUUCCAAGUGUUAUUCGAGAUUCACAGACAGAACAAAGAUUGAACGAGCUACUAAAAGAGUUGCAUUACAGUCUGGUGAGAAGCAAACGAGUGAUGAGAGUCAAUCCACGUCUAGGCAAGGUUUGCGAUCAGCCGCCACUAAAUCAUCAACCACCCAAGCUGUUCACCUGCGAUAACAUGUCUUGCCUCCUGUGUGCAUUAUCUGCAAAAAGUACCUUUGUUCUACAGGUGUCAGAAUAAGACUGUCUCUGAUAAGCUGGUUUUAGCAGAAACUAAAGAUGGGGGGCGACUUAGAGAAGCAGCAAUUAAGAAAGAAGAUGAAACCAUUCUCAGGCACAUCAGAGAUAAAGACUGUGUUGCUGUUGAAGUUAGGUACCAUGUACGAUGUACUUUCUCAGCUAACACCAGGAUCGAAUAUGGGACCUCCAUGUUAGCGAGCCAUCGCCUUACUCACUAAGCCACCGCGGCCCCGGGGUUAUUAGCAAUUAUGAACAACUAUAUGAUACAUUUAUAAUAAGAUACGGGAAUUUUCACAAUAACCAAUUUUAUUCUUUGAAAAAUAUUUAAUAAACAAAUUUCACAAUGAUAAAACAUUUUAGAAGUCAAGCAUCUUGGGAUCAAGUUCCGCUCCCUUUGCAACCCCGCGUGCGAGAACCAUACACUAGUCACUUCAUUUUCGUUCUGUGUAACCGGUGUGUAUCGAUCAUUGAAUCAAGUAUGGGGAAAUGUGUAGCACUGUUUGAAAUAAUA